rnacentral:rRNA from 1 species
GACGAACGCUGGCGGCGUGCCUAAUACAUGCAAGUCGAACGCUGAAGAGAGGAGCUUGCUCUUCUUGGAUGAGUUGCGAACGGGUGAGUAACGCGUAGGUAACCUGCCUGGUAGCGGGGGAUAACUAUUGGAAACGAUAGCUAAUACCGCAUAAAAUUGAUUAUUGCAUGAUAAUUAAUUGAAAGAUGCAACUGCAUCACUACCAGAUGGACCUGCGCUGUAUUAGCUAGUUGGUGAGGUAACGGCUCACCAAGGCGACGAUACAUAGCCGACCUGAGAGGGUGAUCGGCCACACUGGGACUGAGACACGGCCCAGACUCCUACGGGGGGCAGCAGUAGGGAAUCUUCGGCAAUGGGGGGAACCCUGACCGAGCAACGCCGCGUGAGUGAAGAAGGUUUUCGGAUCGUAAAGCUCUGUUGUAAGAGAAGAACGGGUGUGAGAGUGGAAAGUUCACACUGUGACGGUAGCUUACCAGAAAGGGACGGCUAACUACGUG